ACGGGAGGCAGCAGUGGGGAAUAUUGCACAAUGGGCGAAAGCCUGAUGCAGCAACGCCGCGUGAGGGAUGACGGUUUUCGGAUUGUAAACCUCUGUCUUUGGUGAAGAAUAAUGACAUUAGCCGAGGAGGAAGCCACGGCUAACUACGUGCCAGCAGCCGCGGUAAUACGUAGGGAGCAAGCGUUAUCCGGAAUUACUGGGUGUAAAGGGAGUGUAGGCGGGACUGUAAGUCAGAUGUGAAAUAUGCCGGCUCAACUGGCAGACUGCAUUUGAAACUGCGGUUCUUGAGUGAAGUAGAGGUAAGCGGAAUUCCUAGUGUAGCGGUGAAAUGCGUAGAUAUUAGGAGGAACAUCAGUGGCGAAGGCGGCUUACUGGGCUUUAACUGACGCUGAGGCUCGAAAGCGUGGGGAGCAAACAGGAUUAGAUACCCUGGUA
rnacentral:rRNA from 1 species